rnacentral:rRNA from 1 species
GCGUACGGCCAUAUCAGCCUGGGUAUGCCCGAUCUCGUCUGAUCUCGGAAGCUAAGCAGGGUCGGGCCUGGUUAGUACUUGGAUGGUAGACCGCCUGGGAAUGCCAGGUGCUGUAAGCA